AACCUAUAUAAUAAAUCCAUUCGAAAUCCACAGGUAACGAUUUUGUUUGUUUGGCAAGCCUUAGACCGGGAAUAAAUAUCGAAAACCAGAGUAUAAAAUUGGAGGAAGCUCAGUUAUAAAAAGAGGGAAAACAAAAGAACGAAAAUGGAGAAAUCUCAGAUAUGGUUAACCUUUGGAACCUUGUCCUUGUUAGUGGCAUCAGCAAUGGCGGCCGAUGUUAUCGUAUUAACCGAAGAAAACUUCCACAAGGAAGUUGGUCAAGACAAAGGCGCUCUCGUCGAGUUCUAUGCUCCUUGGUGUGGACACUGUAAGAAGCUAGCUCCCGAGUAUGAGAAGCUUGGAGAGAGUUUUAAGAAGGCUAAAUCCGUCUUGAUUGGAAAGGUAGACUGUGAUGAGCAUAAGAGUGUUUGCAGCAAGUAUGGUGUUCAAGGCUACCCAACAAUUCAAUGGUUUCCUAAAGGCUCUUUGGAACCUAAAAAGUAUGAAGGACCUCGCACCGCAGAGGCCCUUACUGAGUUUGUGAAUAGGGGAGGGACCAAUGUGAAAAUACCCUCUGGCUCCGUGGCAUCCAAUGUUGUAGUGCUAAAUGCUGAUAAUUUUGAUGCGGUUGUCCUUGACAAGACCAAAGACGUGUUGGUUGAGUUUUAUGCUCCUUGGUGUGGCCAUUGCAAAAGCCUUGCUCCUACCUAUGAAAAGGUAGCGACGGUAUUUAAAAUGGAAGAAGAUAUAAUAAUAGCUGACCUAGAUGUUGAUAAAAACCGCGGUAUAGGUGAAAAGUAUGAAGUGGGUGGACUUCCAACAUUGAAACUCUUUUCAAAGGGAAACAAAGCUGGUGAAGAUUACAAUGGUGACAGAGAUUUGGAUGAUUUAGUUAAUUUCAUCAAUGAAAAGUGUGGCACCAAUCGUGACGCGAAAGGGCAGCUAAAUUCAAAGGCUGGUAUUUUGUCAAGUUUGGAUGCAUCGGUUCAGGAGUUCGUGGCUGCUAGGGGUGACGAGAAGAAAAUAGUCUUUUCUAAGAUCGAAGAGGAAGUUCAGAAGCUUAAGGGUUCCACUUCCAGGUAUGGAAAGAUAUACUUGAAGGCUGCUAAAAGCUGUUUGGAGAAAGGUGCUGAUUAUCCAAAGAAGGAAAUUGAGCGGCUGCAACGCAUUCUUGACCAGUCAAUAAGCCCAGAAAAAGCUGAUGAACUAACUCUCAAGAAGAACAUCCUAUCAACUUUUGCAUGAACUAAUUCACUUGUUGACCGCACCGGUGGGGUUCAAUUUUCGUCCUCGUUUUCUGAGGAUCAGUUUUCCGACCAUUCCCGGGAUUUUGGAUUUCACUCUAUAACCUUUGAGUGGAUGUUUCUGCAGGUACACUCGAGUUCAAUUUAGAAAUUGAGAAGACUGCUCUGCUCAUACCUUAAGGAAGGAAGCGAACCAGUAGAACAAGCAACUUGAAUCUCUUUUCCUUUCGCCAUCUGAGGAAAAAGCUGAUGCUCAAGCAGACUUCCAAACCGAAACUAAGACAGAAAUUGAAGUCGUGGCUAAUAGUCAAACCAUAAGGGAACUUGUUGUCAUUUUGCAUCACUUACCCAAACCGAAGGUACCAUUCAAGUUAAAAUCAGGUUUGAUUCACUUACUCCCGGCAUUCCAUGGCUUGGAAAAUGAAGAUCCACAUAAACACCUUAAGGAAUUUCAUAUUGUUUGUUCAAGCAUGAAACCACAAGCGGUAACUAAGGAACAAAUUAAACUUUUACCUUUUCCAUUUUCCUUGGCUAAUUUGACAAAACAAUGGUUGUUUCAUUUACCAUCAGGCUCAGUUGCCUCUUAGGCAGAUAUGACCCCUUUGUUUCUUAAAAUAUCUUUUUCCAACAUCUAGAGUAGCCGGAAUCUGUAGGUAGAUUUGUGUAAUCAAGUAAAGAGAUUUAGAAUCACUGUACGAUUACUGGAAAAUGUUUAAAAAGUUGUGCACAAGCUAGCUGCAACAGGGUAUUUCUAAGCAAUCCCUUAUCUAGCAUUUCUAUGAAGUCUUACUUCUUAUGAAGAGGAAAAUGGUAGAUAUUGUAAGCGGUGGAGCCUUAGUGAAUAGGACUGCUGAAGCCGCUCACGACCUUGUAUCUACCAUGGUUGUAAAUUCUCAAUAGUUUGGGCUGAUUCUUGAUUUUCUAAGAAGUGUAUACAAGGUAAGUGUAUCCUCCUCGGAAAAUAAAAUUAAUAAUAUUGCUAAUUUUAUUCGA